rnacentral:pre_miRNA from 1 species
AUUAUACUCCCUCCGUUCCGAAUUACUUGUCUUAGAUUUGUCUAGAUACGGAUGUAUCUAGACUCAUUUUAGUGCUAGAUACAUCCGUAUCUAGACAAAUCCAAGACAAGUAAUUCGGAACGGAGGGAGUAUAUC